GAUGAAUUAUGUUUGGAUAGGCUCAAAUUAAUCAAUAUGAGUAUACUCCCUGUGGACUCAGGAGCAGCCCAUGUUGCAUUUCAAAGCAAUGAAAUAUGUAUUUCCUCUAAUGGGAUACUGACAAAUGUUUUUAAAACUCUUAGAGUGUUUCUCAUGUGCAGCCAUCUUUUGUGGUGACAUGGAGCACCUGUGCAGACCCUCAGUAGAAUCUGCACCUGGGCCCCAGGCGCGCCAGGAUGGGGCUCAGGGGUUGGUGGGUCCGGCGGCUGUAAAGGAACAGGGUGGAGGUCCCAGGUUGAAAAAUUGUAAAAUUAUAAUUUUACAGCUUAUAUAAUUUAACUACUUCAGUCAUCAUGUCUUUUUCUUUUUACAAAGUCAAUUUUCCUACAUAACUCCAAAUUUUUUUCACACCAUCUAAGUAAUAUUUUAAUAUUUUCCAUAUCCAAUCCGUAUUCAAAUUUCCCCAAUUACCUCCAAAUGACUUAUGAAAAAAAAUGCUAUUUUAAUCGGGAGCCAAUAGCGGAUUACCCUUUGCAUUUGACAGCAGAGUUCAGGCUUAACCCUUAACCUCUUCAGGCUCGGAGGACCCUGGGCAGGAGAGAUUUAAGAACACCGUCCUCCCGCUUUCGCGAAAGGCCAAGAGUGACUUGAAAUGUAGACGCGGAGGCCUAUGGGAAAUGUAGUUUUAAAUAGGUGAGGUUCACCGCCUGGACUCUGGGAAGGGGACGCCACGCUCCUUCUGCGCAUGUGCAGCCGUAGCCUCCUCGUUCGUCUUCUCAGGACUCCAGAGAACCGUUGGGGAACUUUGGGGUGUGCUCGGAAAAUGCAGGGUGCGCACCUAGGGCGAGGGACUAGCUGGGAAGGGUGUGCCUGUGCUUGGGGAUGGGAGCAGGAAGUGUCUGGGACCUCGUCGCCCCCCGCGGCGGUGUAUAAACCCGGGCGGGCCGUCAGAGCGGGUAAGGCCGAUGGGGGAGACCCCGGCCCUCGGGCUCCCGGGGCGCAGGUGUUCGGGGCGGUCCGGGUGCCCGAGGAUCGUGUGACCAGCCCGCCUGCAGCCCGACCGGAGAGAAGCCCGUGUGCGGCGGCGGUGGGUGCGGGAGGGAGGAGUGCGUUUAUCAGGCGGACGGUGACCGUUGGUCUGCGGUGGAGCCCGAGCUCUGGAGCACUACAGGCCCGGUCAGUGCCAGCUCUGUCACCUGUAAGCAGGGGCGACAGAAGGAACCUGGGCGAGAGUCAGGGUUCUCAUCUAUAAAUAUUAAUAAUGAUUGUUUCACGGCGCGUUUGGAAACAUAGAUCACUAUUUUAGACAAGUGCCAGGUAGGAAGCCUUAAGUAAGUGACAACUGCUGUUAUAGUUAGAGGAUGCUUUGUUUUUUUACUGGAUAGUUUAAUGUACCCUGACAACCACUUCACCAGAAACCGAGGCUCGGGUCGGUGGCCCGAUGUGCUCGAGUGAGGAGCUCCCAGCCAGGGAAUUUGGAUUCGAGGGCAGGUGUGCUUCGCUUCAGUCUCAGGCUUUGUCUGAUGUCACACCUGCCCAAGACUGGCAUUACAGCCUUCACAGCAUUUAGGAACAUGGCCUGUCCCUGCGUCCCCAGGGAUGUAAAGGAAAGGAUGUGGAUGGAAUCCCACCGUGUGUCACAUGUAUCCUGGGAUUCUAGUGUCUCUUCAGGUCCCUUGGGUCAGACAGAGGUGCCUGGCCCCCUCUGCAUUGUCAGGCUUUCUGUCCUUGAAGUCUAACGUUAUAAUGAAUUCCAAGAGUCAGGCUUUUUGCCCCUAAAAUGAAUUUAUUUCUCAGAUCCAUGUCCCAGUUGCCUUGAAACAAACCAGCCCUUGUGAGGCAGGAAGCAGGGGGCCUCUGUGAGGGAGUCUUACCUGGAAGAGAGCGCCCCUCUGACCUUAGACCUCUCUCCAGAGCUUCAGAGCAGAGACAAGAGCCCAGAAAGGAGCAGAUGCUAGAUUUGCAAGAUCAGAAGCAGGUCUUGAUCCUCCUGCCCAGAAUGAACCAGACUUGAUGAUGAUGCCACCUUCAGGAGCCACCACACUGUGUGACAGUGGGGCAUUUGGGCCGUCCCUGGGAAGUACAGAUGCGCUGCUGUCACACAUGUCCACCACCACAUGUGACAUUAGUGACGUUAUCCUGAUGUCACAGGAUCCAAGAAUGAUGAUCUGUGAAGAGUUUUCCGAGGUCACCUACUUCUAACUCUUUUGAAAGAUUUAAAGACAUUGGGCCUGAAAAUUUCAGUGACUUGUCCAGGGAAACGCAGUUUGUGACAGUUCACUCUCUCACAGCUGAACCACAGUCCUCUGUACUCGCCCAGGAGCCACAGAAGUGAACAUCCCUCAGAUUCCACCUGCCACCACUGGAGGAGGUUCAGGAGCUGUGUAUUCUGAGCCUGCUGUGAUCCCUGGUGUCUGUGCUUGUCCUUUGGAAUCUAUGCUGAGAGGACCCAUCUGCGAUUGCCUGCUUGUAGCUGCUGCUUUGCUAAUGGAGGAGAGUCUAAGGGAAGAGCUCACUCCGCCGUGAUGCUGAUGUCAUGCCUGGUCAUUCUAUUUUUAAGUUUUUGAGGAAUCUCUGUACUGUUUUCCACAGUGGCUGCACCAAUUUACAUUCCCACCAGCAGUGUAUGAGGGCUCCCUUUUCUCCACAUCCUCUCCAACACUUCUGUUUUCUUUGUAAAGAUUGGCACCUGAGCUAACAUCUGUUGUCUAUCUUUUUUUCCUUCUUGUUCUCCCAAAACCCUCCCA
rnacentral:lncRNA from 1 species